GCUAAGUUGCUUCAGAGCAUAGUAAAGCAAAGUAAAAAUGGUGCAACAGAACUGUAGUUGCAUUUCUUCAACUGUCAAGAGUUACUAAGGCAAGUUGCCUAAUUAGCUAUUGGCAAAUGAGAUUUACUGCCAAAUAUUUUAACAUGUCUUUGCAAAAUCUUCACAAAACUUUGGUAUGCUUACCCACAACAAAAGGGUUUGAUUUCUCACAUGUCUACAGAAUGAUGCUUCUCUACUUUCUUCUAGUACUGCGUCUCGUAGCUGAAGUCACUACUACAGAGACCUCUUCUUUAGCUAUUGUUGGAACUUCUGGUUUGUUGCUACUUUUCUUUUUUUUCUUUGUUUCACUCUUUGGUGUUUCUUCUGCUUCACUUUCUUCUUUUU
rnacentral:misc_RNA from 1 species